rnacentral:ncRNA from 1 species
CUGGUUGAUCCUGCCAGUAGCAUAUUAUUGUCCCAAAGAUUAAGCCAUGCAAGUCUUAGUACACACAGUCGGCACAGUGGAACUGUGAAUGGCUCAUUAAAUCAGGUAUGGCUUCAACUUUACUUGCAUAACUGUGGCAAUUUUAGCUUGAAGAUAUGCCAACAAGCGCUGACCUUCAGGAUGCGUGUAUUGAUCAAAACCUAUAAGUGGUGCUCUCGGGCGCCCUGGAUGCUUUUGGUGAAGCUUUGUGGUGCUGACGUCUAAUGUGGAUGUCUGCACUAUCAACUUUCAAUGUUACUUUCUGUGCCUACCAUGGUGACCAUCAGUAAAAGGGAAUCAGGGUUCAAUCCCGGAGAGGGGGCCAAAGAAUCGGCUGCCACAUCCAAGGAAGGCAGCAGGUACGCAAAUUAUCUAUUCCCGACUCAGGGAGAUAGUGACGAAAAAUAACAAUACAGGACGCUUUCAAGUCCCCGUAUUUGGAAUGAGUAUCCUACACUUUAAAUCACUUUAAAGAGGAUCCAUUAUUGAUGAUCAGAACUGAUGGUU